GGUUAAUCCAUCAUAAGCCAAAAGUAGGCAAUAAAGAAAAAAAGAGAGUUUUCAGCCUUAUGCCAUCUUUUUUUUAAUACCUUUAUAAAAAGGAAUUCUUCAUUCCUUUUUUAAUUUAUCUGGAGACCUGGAGAUCCUCUUACCAUAGAGAUGUGUAGGGAUUAACCAGCCCACAGUGAAAGGAAGUAGAAACCAUAGAAAAAGGAAGGAGAAACCAUAGAGAUAGGAAGGAGACACCAUAGAGAUAGGAAGGAGAAACCAUAGAGACAGGAAGUGAGGUAGGAAAAGGGGAUAAAGCAGCUGGCCUCAGUUGGUCAGUCUGUCAGUUGCUGAUAGGACUGGGAGUUGUGAAUGAAUUUCAUUAUUUUUUCUACAUUAAUCAGAUAAUUUUUGGAUAAUUUGAUUGGUAUGGCACUGAAUAGAGCUGGGUCGAUUAAAUCUCUGGGUCAAAUGAACAUUUGGUUUGGACAUUUUUAUGGACAAUUUCAGCUACUUUCCAGAAUGAUUGGAUCAAUGUCUAGCCAAGAGUAGGUAAGUUUUCCUACCUUUCCACAACCUUUCAAAAAUCAACUAUGCUCUAAUUUUUGACAUUUGUUUCUUAGCAAUCUUCAGGGUAUGAGAUAAGCCCUUAGGAUCAUUUUAAUUUACAUUAAUCAAUCAGUCAAUUAAUUAGUGAUAUGUUUAAGUUUUUCAUAU